CUUUCAACAACGGAUCUCUUGGUUCUGGCAUCGAUGAAGAACGCAGCGAAAUGCGAUAAGUAAUGCGAAUUGCAGAAUUUCCGUGAGUCAUCGAAUCUUUGAACGCACAUUGCGCCCUUUGGUAUUCCGAAGGGCAUGCCUGUUCGAGCGUCAUUAUCC
rnacentral:rRNA from 2 species